CAAAUCAGAAGAGAAAUGGGGAACUAUCUGACGGCAAAAGUAGCAUGGAACAAAUUAACUAUUCACAACUGGGAAAUUUUCUGGCUUGUGUGGGCAGUUCAUGCCAGUCUGAUAUACAGACUCCAAGUCACUUUUGAAUAACUCUCAGCCUGAAGACCAAAGAAAAGACAGAACAGUGAAGUUUUGCACUGCGGAAUAUAUUGUUACACUGCACCAGUUACAAUUUCUCUUUAGAGGCUUUGAAACUGCACUGAAAAAUCAUGUUUGGAGAGACAAAAACAUCCCUCUACAGUUAUUACAACCACAAAGGAGCUAUAGUCAUCACCUGUAUUGCUGGCUCCUGGUUAUCCCUGUCCUGCUGGAUGGCCCUGGUUUCUGUCACUGGGCUUUCUCUGCUGAGGCAUGGUGGGACUGCAUCCAUGCCAAGGAGGACCCUGGCUGGCCCCCAUCUGUGACUCUCAGGUCCUGGCUCCCACAGCCCCAUGGGAUCAUCUCACGAUUGCAAUGUCCUCCUGGCAAUAAUGAGGGAAAGGGGAUCAUGCCAGCAAUUUUGAAAUGUGUAGGUAUGAAAAAAAGAAACAGGAACUUGUCAUGAUGGACAUUUCUAACUCCUAUCAGUUAACAUUUUCUCAUUAAAAAAGAUACUGGAGGAGAAAAAAAAAAAAAUCCUCAAUUCCAGAUUGUUCCUGUGUUGCUUUGCAUCUGCUCUACUUGACUGUUUACAUGUGGUACCUGAGAGGAAUUGUGAGAUAAACUUGAUUAAUGUUUCUAAAAAACAAAGUUGUGAAACCUGUGCUGAAGACCUUCCCAUAGAGAAGUGCAAGUAAUUUAGUCAUCAUGCAUGUUAAACAUUCUCCAAAAAGACCAUGAAUUUAGCAUAUUCUCUUUAAUUGCUUUAAUCUCUUUAAUUAUUCUAAAUCAAGCAUGAAUAUCUGAACCACUGAUUAAUUUCUUUCAUUAAGAAAUAUUUUGAUGGUCUGCACAUUUUAGAGUGUGACAUUUGGUUGAAUUAAAUGUAAACUUUACAAUUUAACUUUUUGUGAGGAAUUACAUUAGAUCUGUGUUACAGAUUGAGAAUUGAGGUACCAUCUAUUUCAUCUUGUUCCAUUCAAUAAACUGUUUUUUUCUGGAUACUGGC